GUGGGGAAUUUUGGACAAUGGGCGCAAGCCUGAUCCAGCAAUGCCGCGUGCAGGAAGAAGGCCUUCGGGUUGUAAACUGCUUUUGUACGGAACGAAACGGUCCGGGUUAAUACCCUGGGCUAAUGACGGUACCGUAAGAAUAAGCACCGGCUAACUACGUGCCAGCAGCCGCGGUAAUACGUAGGGUGCAAACGUUAAUCGGAAUUACUGGGCGUAAAGCGUGCGCAGGCGGUUUUGUAAGACAGGCGUGAAAUCCCCGGGCUCAACCUGGGAAUUGCGCUUGUGACUGCAAGGCUGGAGUGCGGCAGAGGGGGAUGGAAUUCCGCGUGUAGCAGUGAAAUGCGUAGAUAUGCGGAGGAACACCGAUGGCGAAGGCAAUCCCCUGGGCCUGCACUGACGCUCAUGCACGAAAGCGUGGGGAGCAAACAGGAUUAGAAACCCCUGUAGUCC
rnacentral:rRNA from 1 species